GUGGGAGGGGGCUUGCCCCCGAUAGCUGAGUGUCAGUCAGUGCAUCAGGUGACUGACCCACCACCAUCGGGGGCAAGCCCCCUCCCAC
rnacentral:misc_RNA from 1 species